ensembl:miRNA
CUGCUGGUCCCUGUUCAGGCGCCAAUAUGCUGGGCUAGCUUCGCGGACGGGAGACAGACGACCAGGGACUCAUGGCUGAGCUGGGA